GCAUAUCAAUAAGCGGAGGAAAAGAAACCAACAGGGAUUGCCUUAGUAGCGGCGAGUGAAGCGGCAAAAGCUCAAAUUUGAAAUCUGGUACUUUCAGUGCCCGAGUUGUAAUUUGAAGAAGGUAUCUUUGGACCUGGCUCUUGUCUAUGUUCCUUGGAACAGGACGUCACAGAGGGUGAGAAUCCCGUGCGAUGAGAUGCUCCAGGUCUAUGUAAAGUUCCUUCGAAGAGUCGAGUUGUUUGGGAAUGCAGCUCUAAGUGGGUGGUAAAUUCCAUCUAAAGCUAAAUAUUGGCGAGAGACCGAUAGCGAACAAGUACAGUGAUGGAAAGAUGAAAAGAACUUUGAAAAGAGAGUGAAAAAGUACGUGAAAUUGUUGAAAGGGAAGGGCUUGAGAUCAGACUUGGUAUUUUGUAUGUUGUUCUUUCGGGGGCGGCCUCUACAGUUUACCGGGCCAGCAUCGGUUUGAACGGUAGGAUAAUGGUAAAGAAAUGUGGCAUUACUUGUGAUGUGUUAUAGUCUUUAUUGAUACUGCCAGUUUAGACCGAGGUCUGCGAUUUUAUCUAGGAUGUUGGCAUAAUGAUCUUAAGUCGCCCGUCUUGAAACACGGACCAAGGAGUCUAACGUCUAUGCGAGUGUUUGGGUGUAAAACCCGUACGC
rnacentral:rRNA from 1 species